rnacentral:rRNA from 1 species
GAUUAUGGCUCAGAACGAACGCUGGCGGCGCGUUUAAGCAUGCAAGUCGAGCGGCAAGGGCCUUCGGGCCCCUAGAGCGGCGGACGGGUGAGUAACACGUGGACAAUCUGCCCCCCGGCCCGGGAUAGCCCAGGGAAACCUGGAUUAAUACCGGAUGAGACGGGACCCGCGAUGGCGGGACCCGGGAAAGGCGCUGCGGCGCCGCCGGGGGAUGAGUCUGCGUCCCAUUAGCUAGACGGCGGGGUAACGGCCCACCGUGGCGACGAUGGGUAGCCGGCCUGAGAGGGUGGACGGCCACAUUGGAACUGAGACACGGUCCAGACUCCUACGGGAGGCAGCAGCUAAGAAUCUUCCGCAAUGGGCGAAAGCCUGACGGAAGCGACGCCGCGUGAACGAAGAAGGCCGUGAGGUUGUAAAGUUCUUUUCGGGAGGGGGAACAACCGUGGCAGGGAAUGGCCGCGGGAUGACGUGAAUCCCGGAAUAAGCCCCGGCUAACUACGUGCCAGCCGCCGC